CUUCUUUGUAUUUAUUGACACAUUCGCCACCACGUUGUUCUGCCACCCUAUUUCACAACAUUGAUGUAAAAAUAGGCUUUGAAAGUAUAUUACAACUGUUAACUGUUUUCACUUGUAUGAAGGAAAUUCCAUUGAUUUAAAAAUAAAUAAAAGUGUGUGUUUUUAUGAUACCCCAGGCUGUAGAACAGCGACAUUAUUCAUGCAUCACUUUGAAGCACAUUUUAAGCCAUGUGAUGACUUGAGUCAGUGCUGCUCUGUUGUCUGCAAUGAUGGAGGAGUGGUGUGAGUUCGUGACCUAUUUCGGUACAUAGAUAUUCCGCACUCUUUGGCAAUCUCAGCAGUUUGGCACUUGAUAUGUGUGCUAGAACACCUCACCCUAAAGAUGUGUUCAAGUUGGAUGCAGGUGACAUUUCUCCUUGCACACUUGAUUGUUGCAGGAGCAGUGGUAUACCAGUACCCAGGGUCACUAACAGUGGCAGAGGGUACCAAUGUGACGUUUCACUGUGACAUCAGUGAAAUGGGAGGGGAAUGCUCUUAUAUCGUAUGGGUGCAAGUGGGACCUAUGAGAAAGCUCACACUCUGGCCUCAAAAAACCUACAGUGUCCACACCAACACGGCCUGCCUCCUGAACAUCAUCAAUGCCAACAGGACAAGUGUGGGCAUCUUCUACUGUGCCCUGCUUAAUGGUGCCAUGCUGAACAUGGGCAAUGGGAGUGUGCUGGAAGUCUCUGACCCUAUCACCUCUGACGCUACUCUGGAGGUCCUGGUGCCUGUGGACUGGCAGGAGGCCCCCUCAUCCCCAGUCCCACUCCUGUGCCUGGUGUCUGGACUGGAUCCCAGUCAGGCCAAGGUGUACUGGGAGGUGGAGGGGAAGGUUCAGUCCUCAGAGCGUUUACCUGAGGUUCAGUCAGAGAAGCCAGCCACUGUCAGAGUCCAGAUCUCUGUACCUGGCCAUACCUGGGCUGAAGGUGAAGAGAUCACCUGUGUUAUGGAGAGCACCAGUGGGGUGAAGAUGAACAAGACAGUCAGCAGGAUGGGAAUGGAGAGGUCCAGACAGGGAAUGUUUCUGGCCAUCUCUUUGGGCGGCAUGUGUAUCCUUCUUUCUAUUGUGGUGAUUGUCAUCACAUUGUAUGUCUGCAGACUGAGACACGACCCUCGAAAGAAAAGAUUUCAAGCCUAUGAGCACAACCAGGACGGAGCACAGGGUCUGACUGAAGUGCAAUAUGCCAGUUUAAAGUUUGGAGCUGGUCGUGGGAGACCCUUACCUACAGCCGCAGCUAAAAACAGACAAUAUAAGUAGGCUAAAGCUGCCCUAGUAAGACCUUACAUGUGAAUUACAUUUUCUACAAAAACAUAAAAGAAGUGCUUAUUCAUUCAGGGUCAUCGGUUUGUCAAAAUGCUCCUGUGCUUUCUUGCUUAUGUUUUCUGACCUACUUAUUUGAGUCAAUGAUGUAAGGAUUUUUGCCUUUAAAAUUAGGAACUUAUUUAGUCAGAUUGUGUUGUCAUUUUACAAGCUUUGUGAUUAAAAAUAAUUUGUCUUGUUGAAAUAAUAGCCAAAUGUAAAUUACAUUUGAGACAAGUUUAAUUUAUGGAGUGAACUAAUUUCUCUAGUCGUAUGCUGAUGAGAUUUUUGUGAUAAUAGUCAGCAAUAAAAAUGAGUCACAGAUGGAAUCUUUUUAAUCUCCAACAUAAAUAGCACAUCCUGUUUGUUUCACAUAAUGCUCAGCAUAUUCAACAGCACAGCUCCAUUUGAUGGUAAGCAUUUUUGUCCAAAUGCUCUGCCUCUUAGUAUUUCAAAAUAUCUCACAAGUUAGGUGCGUUCUAUAACUUAAAUGAUGGAGCAUCUUUCAUCUCUGUGAUGUUGCAACACAAACCCACAGAUUUACAUCAUUUUAGCAGACACUCUUACCCAAACACAGAUGGUGUUUGACCUUAAGCUAUUUGAAAGUGGAAAUAAUUUAUGUAUUAUAUAUUUAUUUAUUUAACCUUUAUUUAACUAGGCAAGUCAGUUAAGAACAAAUCCUUAUUUACGAUUACAG
rnacentral:lncRNA from 13 species